UACGAAGGGGGCUAGCGUUGUUCGGAUUUACUGGGCGUAAAGCGCACGUAGGCGGAUCGUUAAGUCGGGGGUGAAAUCCUGGAGCUCAACUCCAGAACUGCCUUCGAUACUGGCGAUCUCGAGUCCGGAAGAGGUGAGUGGAACUCCUAGUGUAGAGGUGGAAUUCGUAGAUAUUAGGAAGAACACCAGUGGCGAAGGCGGCUCACUGGUCCGGUACUGACGCUGAGGUGCGAAAGCGUGGGGAGCAAACAGGG
rnacentral:rRNA from 1 species